CCUGGGGUAAGUAACAAAGCCAGAAGUUUCAUCAAGUCACCAUAUUUAAACCCGGAAAAAAAUCUGAGAAUUUCUAUUUUCAAUCAACAGGCCUUCCCUCAUCCCCUCAACCCUCAGCUUUGUGGCCUCUAUCUUGCACCGUCAAAGGCCAGUUUAAACAAUGGUCACCCAGAGAUUCACACUUCUCGCAAGCCCCAACUCAAUCUCCUGCCAUGUUUUUCACUGUCUGAAUCGUGUGCGCAGUUGUGGGACAUUUGGACUACA
rnacentral:lncRNA from 1 species